rnacentral:rRNA from 1 species
AUUGAACGCUGGCGGCAGGCCUAACACAUGCAAGUCGAGCGGAUGACGGGAGCUUGCUCCUUGAUUCAGCGGCGGACGGGUGAGUAAUGCCUAGGAAUCUGCCUGGUAGUGGGGGACAACGUUUCGAAAGGAACGCUAAUACCGCAUAGCUCCUACGGGAGAAAGCAGGGGACCUUCGGGCCUUGCGCUAUAAGAUGAGCCUAGGUCGGAUUAGCUAGUUGGUGGGGUAAUGGCUCACCAAGGCGACGAUCCGUAACUGGUCUGAGAGGAUGAUCAGUCACACUGGAACUGAGACACGGUCCAGACUCCUACGGGAGGCAGCAGUGGGGAAUAUUGGACAAUGGGCGAAAGCCUGAUCCAGCCAUGCCGCGUGUGUGAAGAAGGUCUUCGGAUUGUAAAGCACUUUAAGUUGGGAGGAAGGGCAGUAAGCUAAUACCUUGCUGUUUUGACGUUACCGACAGAAUAAGCACCGGCUAACUCUGUGCCAGCCGCCGCGGUAAGAC